GAAAGAGGGUUUGAAGAAAACAGAGAAGAGGGUGAGACCCGAUCGCAAGGAUAUCUGAAAAAAAAAAAACUGGGAAGAAGAAGAUUGGUAUUUUUGAAGCCGAACUUGAGAACCUUAACUAUGGAUGACAGCAAAGCUUGGUCAAGCGGAAAUUGGAACAGCGUACGACCGAGUUUAAAGGAUCUGUUGGGAAGUUGGCGUAACUAGGUCUCAGGGGAAUGUCGGGGCGAUUAGGGCCAAAUCCGGAUUUCGAAUCCUGGACUUGGGAGCAUUGUCUUUUCAGUUUGCAUAGAAAGAAAAUUGUUGUUACAAGUUUGACUAGGAGAAGUUUAUUGAGUUUUAUGAAAUGUAUAAUGUUGCUCCAGUUUUACUCGAGUUUAAUGAAA